rnacentral:rRNA from 1 species
CCUACGGGCGGCAGCAGUGAGGAAUAUUGGUCAAUGGGCGGGAGCCUGAACCAGCCAAGUCGCGUGAGGGAAGACGGUCCUACGGAUUGUAAACCUCUUUUGCCGGGGAGCAACGGGGUCCUUGCGAGGGCCCGAUGAGAGUACCCGGAGAAAACGCAUCGGCUAACUCCGUGCCAGCAGCCGCGGUAAUACGGAGGGUGCGAGCGUUAUCCGGGUUUAUUGGGUUUAAAGUGUGCGUAUGCGGGCUGUUAAGUCAGCGGUCAAAUGUCGGGGCUCAACCCCUAGAGUGCAACUGAUACUGUAUAACUUGAGUGUGAGAGAGGGAAGCGGAAUUCCUAGUGGAGCGGUGAAAUGCGUAGAUAUUAGGAGGAACACCAGUGGCGAAGGCGGCUUUCUGGCUCAUAACUGACGCUGAGGCGCGAAAGCGUGGGGAGCAAACAGGAUUAGAUACCCUUGUAGUC